UAGGGAAUCUUCGGCAAUGGGGGGAACCCUGACCGAGCAACGCCGCGUGAGUGAAGAAGGUCUUCGGAUCGUAAAGCUCUGUUGUUAAGGAAGAACGAGUGUGAGAAUGGAAAGUUCAUGCUGUGACGGUACUUAACCAGAAAGGGACGGCUAACUACGUGCCAGCAGCCGCGGUAAUACGUAGGUCCCGAGCGUUGUCCGGAUUUAUUGGGCGUAAAGCGAGCGCAGGCGGUUAGAAAAGUCUGAAGUGAAAGGCAGUGGCUCAACCAUUGUAGGCUUUGGUAACUGUUUAACUUGAGUGCAGAAGGGGAGAGUGGAAUUCCAUGUGUAGCGGUGAAAUGCGUAGAUAUAUGGAGGAACACCGGUGGCGAAAGCGGCUCUCUGGUCUGUAACUGACGCUGAGGCUCGAAAGCGUGGGGAGCGAACAGG
rnacentral:rRNA from 1 species